AUGAACGCUGGCGGCGUGCCUAACACAUGCAAGUCGAGCGAUGAAACCGCCCUCGGGCGGACAUGAAGCGGCGAACGGGUGAGUAACACGUGACCGACCUGCCCCCCGCCCAGGGACAGCCCCCCGAAAGGGGGAUUAAUACCUGGUACUCCCGGGAAGGCGCAUGCCUUCCCGGGGAAAGCUUUCGCGGCGGGGGAUGGGGUCGCGGCCCAUCAGGUAGACGGCGGGGCAGAGGCCCACCGUGCCGACGACGGGUAGCCGGGUUGAGAGACCGACCGGCCACAUUGGGACUGAGAUACGGCCCAGACUCCUACGGGAGGCAGCAGUGGGGAAUUUUGCGCAAUGGGGGCAACCCUGACGCAGCAACGCCGCGUGCGGGACGAAGGCGUCCGCGUCGUAAACCGCUUUCAGCGGGGAACACUUCAACGAGGGUACCCGCAGAAGAAGCCCCGGCUAAAUACGUGCCAGCAGCCGCGGUAAUACGUAUGGGGCGAGCGUUAUCCGGAUUCAUUGGGCGUAAAGCGCGCGUAGGCGGAGCGCUAAGCGGGACCUCUAACCCGAGGGCUCAACCCCCGGCCGGGUCCCGAACUGGCGCUCUCGAGUGCGGUAGGGGAGAGCGGAAUUCCCGGUGUAGCGGUGGAAUGCGCAGAUAUCGGGAGGAACACCGACGGCGAAGGCAGCUCUCUGGGCCGAAACUGACGCUGAGGCGCGAAAGCUGGGGGAGCGAACAGGAUUAGAUACCCUGGUAGUCCACGCAGUAAACGAUGAUUACUAGGAGUUUGCGAUACACGGUAAGCUCUACAGCGAAAGCGUUAAGUAAUCCACCUGGGGAGUACGACCGCAAGGUUGAAACUCAAAGGAAUUGACGGGGGCCCGCACAAGCAGUGGAGUAUGUGGUUUAAUUCGAAGCAACGCGAAGAACCUUACCAGGUCUUGACAUCCGAUGCAUAGCUUAGAGAUAAGUGAAGUCCUUCGGGACAUCGAGACAGGUGGUGCAUGGUUGUCGUCAGCUCGUGUCGUGAGAUGUUGGGUUAAGUCCCGCAACGAGCGCAACCCUUGUGAUAUGUUACUAACAUUGAGUUGAGGACUCAUAUCAGACUGCCGGUGAUAAACCGGAGGAAGGUGGGGAUGACGUCAAAUCAUCAUGCCCCUUAUGACCUGGGCUACACACGUACUACAAUGGCGUUAAACAAAGAGAAGCAAGACCGCGAGGUGGAGCAAAACUCAAAAACAACGUCUCAGUUCAGAUUGCAGGCUGCAACUCGCCUGCAUGAAGUCGGAAUUGCUAGUAAUCGCGGAUCAGCACGCCGCGGUGAAUACGUUCCCGGGCCUUGUACACACCGCCCGUCACACCACCCGAGUCGUCUGCACCCGAAGCCGCCGGCCGAACCCCUCCGGGGGGCGGAGGCGUCGAAGGUGUGGAGGGUGAGGGGGGUG
rnacentral:rRNA from 1 species